rnacentral:rRNA from 1 species
CCUACGGGGGGCAGCAGUGAGGAAUAUUGGUCAAUGGCCGAGAGGCUGAACCAGCCAAGCCGCGUGAGGGAAGACGGCCCUAUGGGUUGUAAACCUCUUUUGUCGGAGAACAAAACCCGGGACGAGUCCCGGACUGCGUGUAUCCGAAGAAAAAGCAUCGGCUAACUCCGUGCCAGCAGCCGCGGUAAUACGGAGGAUGCGAGCGUUAUCCGGAUUUAUUGGGUUUAAAGGGUGCGCAGGCGGACCAUCAAGUCAGCGGUAAAAUCGUGAGGCCCAACCCCAUCCCGCCGUUGAAACUGGCGGUC